ACUCCUGCGGGAGGCAGCAGUGGGGAAUUUUGGACAAUGGGCGAAAGCCUGAUCCAGCAAUGCCGCGUGAGUGAAGAAGGCCUUCGGGUUGUAAAGCUCUUUUGUCAGGGAAGAAACGGUGAGAGCUAAUAUCUCUUGCUAAUGACGGUACCUGAAGAAUAAGCACCGGCUAACUACGUGCCAGCAGCCGCGGUAAUACGUAGGGUGCAAGCGUUAAUCGGAAUUACUGGGCGUAAAGCGUGCGCAGGCGGUUUUGUAAGUCUGAUGUGAAAUCCCCGGGCUCAACCUGGGAAUUGCAUUGGAGACUGAAAGGCUAGAAUCUGGCAGAGGGGGGUAGAAUUCCACGUGUAGCAGUGAAAUGCGUAGAUAUGUGGAGGAACACCGAUGGCGAAGGCAGCCCCCUGGGUCAAGAUUGACGCUCAUGCACGAAAGCGUGGGGAGCAAACAGGAUUAGAUACCCUUGUAGUCCC
rnacentral:rRNA from 1 species